UACAGAGGUGGCUAGCGUUGUUCGGAAUUACUGGGCGUAAAGGGCGCGUAGGCGGCUUGGUCAGUCCCGUGUGAAAUCCCUCGGCUCAACUGAGGAACUGCACGGGAAACUGCCUGGCUUGAGUUCGGGAGAGGGAAGCGGAAUUCCGGGUGUAGCGGUGAAAUGCGUAGAUAUCCGGAGGAACACCGGUGGCGAAGGCGGCUUCCUGGACCGACACUGACGCUGAGGCGCGAAAGCCAGGGGAGCGAACGGG
rnacentral:rRNA from 1 species